UGGAGAACCUCAGUGAAUAUUAGGCCUCAAAAUACUGAGAGCUUCAAAAGAUAUUGGCAUCGACAUUAAUCAUGAUUGAUCAUUAAGGUGCACUACGACGAUAGAUCUUCAUCAAACCCACGAUAGGCCACUGUUUAAUCUGAAAGAUGUUCACAAGUCAACAAAGAUUCACCUCAGAUUGGACGAAAACCGACGCAUUCAACAUGGUGCUAGACUUGACAGUGCACUUCGAUGGCCAAAGCUGUCAUCGCUGCCGCGACGAUAACAAAGACAGAAACUGCAAUGCUGGCAUAUCAUCGGCACCACACAUGCUCGUAUGUGGGAUGUUUUAUACUAC